rnacentral:lncRNA from 10 species
AGGGAAGGGAGAUGGGGAGGAAAAAUGUAGAACAGUUCUCUGGGUGGCCUUGGACCAGCCCUAUUGUCCUCCCUUUUCUCAUUUCUAGUUCUCAAGAACAGCUGUAGAAUGUUCUGGGAAUGCAACAUUCUGAGAUAAGGAGGGCUGGCUGGAACAGCCUGAGCUCUGUUCUGGGACCCCGCUUUACUGAAAUAAGAUAACCUUCAAUGUUUUAGCCCAGCAAAUCUCAUUGCCCCACAGCAUAAAACCAAGGUUGAGAGGCUUUCUGGGGUCCCUCAGCUGAUACAAGUGGGGUAUGCAUGGAGGACACUCCAUCUAUCCUGGGCAAAUUUCUUGAGCCUUGCAGACUGGCUUACAAUGUGUCACGGGCUUCUGUUGUCUUGCUGCCUAUCUGUAAGUAGUAAAAAGUCUCUUCAUGCAGCUUGUUGUAUGCACAGGUGUUUUCUCUCACUGGACUCAGACAAGUUGGUGACCCGCACACAAUAAACCUGCUCCACAACAAGAGGAGAAGGAAUUCCAGGUCAUAGUAGAUGAUGAUACCUGCCUGUCUGACCUUUGAGGAAGGGGAAUUUCUGAAACCUAAGGCUUCCUUGUAUUGCUCAAUUCAGUGAGAAAGAAAUCACUA